AGACGACUCUCGGCAACGGAUAUCUCGGCUCUCGCAUCGAUGAAGAACGUAGCGAAAUGCGAUACUUGGUGUGAAUUGCAGAAUCCCGUGAACCAUCGAGUCUUUGAACGCAAGUUGCGCCCGAGGCCACUCGGCCGAGGGCACGCCUGCCUGGGCGUCACGCCACCCAUCGC
rnacentral:rRNA from 1 species